rnacentral:rRNA from 1 species
AGUGAACGCUGGCGGUAGGCCUAACACAUGCAAGUCGAACGGCAGCACAGUAAGAGCUUGCUCUUACGGGUGGCGAGUGGCGGACGGGUGAGGAAUACAUCGGAAUCUACUUUUUCGUGGGGGAUAACGUAGGGAAACUUACGCUAAUACCGCAUACGACCUACGGGUGAAAGCAGGGGAUCUUCGGACCUUGCGCGAUUGAAUGAGCCGAUGUCGGAUUAGCUAGUUGGCGGGGUAAAGGCCCACCAAGGCGGCGAUCCGUAGCUGGUCUGAGAGGAUGGUCGGCCACACUGGAGCUGGGACACGGUCCAUACUCCUACGGGAGGCAGCAGUGGGGAAUAUUGGGCAAUGGGCGCAAGCCUGAUCCAGCCAUACCGCGUGGGUGAAGAAGGCCUUCGGGUUGUGAAGCCCUUUUGUUGGGAAAGAAAAGCAGCAGGUUAAUACCCCGCUGUUCUGACGGUACCCAAAGAAUAAGCACCGGCUAACUUCGUG